AUUGAACGCUGGCGGCAGGCCUAACACAUGCAAGUCGAGCGGAGCGGCGGACGGGUGAGUAAUGCCUAGGAAUCUGCCUGGUAGUGGGGGAUAACGUCCGGAAACGGGCGCUAGUACCGCAUACUAGCAGAUGAGCAUAGGUCGGAUUAGGUAGUUGGGGGGGUAAAGGCCUACCAAGGCGACGCUCCGUAACUGGUCUGAGAGGAUGAUCAGUCACACUGGAAUUGAGACACGGUCCAGACUCCUACGGUAGGCAGCAGUGGGGAAUAUUGUAUAAUGGGCGAAAGCCUGAGCCAGCCAUGCCGCGUGUGUGAAGAAGGUCUUCGGCUUGUAAAGCACUUUAAGUUUGGAGGCGUUACCAACAGAAUAAGCACCGGCUAACUCCGUGCCAGCAGCCGCGGUAAUAC
rnacentral:rRNA from 1 species